AGAUUCUAUUCUAUUUGGUAGUGAGAUAUACUAUAAUCUCUAUUAUAAUAUUAUCAAAACUCUUUUCGAUAGAUUGAAAUAAUUCUAAUUCUAUCUUUCGAGGAUCAUUGAUCAUCAAGACAGUGCUCGACGAGUCUCACAAUCCAUCAGUGACACCUAGCAGUAUGUAGUAGCAAUCUUAUAGAAUAAAAAUAUAAACUUUUAGGUAUAGUUAUCGUAUGAUUCAAUCUUUCUAUCAUGAGUUCUGACUUGAUGGAGGUCAUGGAGAACUCAUCAAAUCCCAUCAUCAGCUAUAUGCA
rnacentral:lncRNA from 1 species